GGUCAAGCGAACAAGUGCAUGUGGUGGAUGCCUUGGCGAUCACAGGCGAUGAAGGACGCGGUAGCCUGCGAAAAGCUACGGGGAGCUGGCAAACGAGCUUUGAUCCGUAGAUGUCCGAAUGGGGAAACCCGGCCCUUUUGGGUCAUCCUGGACUGAAUACAUAGGUCCAGAGAAGCGAACGCGGUGAACUGAAACAUCUAAGUAACCGCAGGAAAAGAAAUCAACCGAGAUUCCCAAAGUAGUGGCGAGCGAAAUGGGAUGAGCCUUGCACUCUUUAUUUGUAUUGUUAGCCGAACGCUCUGGAAAGUGCGGCCAUAGCAGGUGAUAGCCCUGUAGGCGAAAACAGUAUGAAAGAACUAGGUGUGCGACAAGUAGGGCGGGACACGUGAAAUCCUGUCUGAAGAUGGGGGGACCAUCCUCCAAGGCUAAAUACUCGUGAUCGACCGAUAGUGAACCAGUACCGUGAGGGAAAGGCGAAAAGAACCCCGGGAGGGGAGUGAAAUAGAUCCUGAAACCGCAUGCAUACAAACAGUCGGAGCCUCGCAAGGGGUGACGGCGUACCUUUUGUAUAAUGGGUCAGCGACUUACGUUCAGUAGCAAGCUUAACCGUAUAGGGCAGGCGUAGCGAAAGCGAGUCCGAAUAGGGCGUUCAGUUGCUGGGCGUAGACCCGAAACCAGGUGAUCUAUCCAUGGCCAGGAUGAAGGUGCGGUAACACGUACUGGAGGUCCGAACCCACUAACGUUGAAAAGUUAGGGGAUGAGCUGUGGAUAGGGGUGAAAGGCUAAACAAACCUGGAAAUAGCUGGUUCUCUCCGAAAACUAUUUAGGUAGUGCCUCGUGUCUCACCUUCGGGGGUAGAGCACUGUCAUGGUUGGGGGGUCUAUUGCAGAUUACCCCGCCAUAGCAAACUCCGAAUACCGAAGAGUGCAAUCACGGGAGACAGACAUCGGGUGCUAACGUCCGGUGUCAAGAGGGAAACAACCCAGACCGCCAGCUAAGGUCCCCAAAUAUAGCUAAGUGGGAAACGAAGUGGGAAGGCUAAAACAGUCAGGAGGUUGGCUUAGAAGCAGCCACCCUUUAAAGAAAGCGUAAUAGCUCACUGAUCGAGUCGUCCUGCGCGGAAGAUGUAACGGGGCUAAGCUAUAUACCGAAGCUGCGGAUGCGAGCUUUGCUCGCAUGGUAGGAGAGCGUUCCGUAAGCCUGCGAAGGUGCCUUGUAAAGGGUGCUGGAGGUAUCGGAAGUGCGAAUGCUGACAUGAGUAGCGAUAAAGGGGGUGAAAGGCCCCCUCGCCGUAAGCCCAAGGUUUCCUACGCAACGUUCAUCGGCGUAGGGUGAGUCGGCCCCUAAGGCGAGGCAGAAAUGCGUAGCUGAUGGGAAGCAGGUCAAUAUUCCUGCACCAUUGUUAGAUGCGAUGGGGGGACGGAUCGCGGAAGGUUGUCCGGGUGUUGGAAGUCCCGGUCGCUGCAUUGGAGAAGGCACUUAGGCAAAUCCGGGUGCGCAAUUCAAGGGUGUGGCGCGAGCUCCUUCGGGAGCGAAGCAAUUGGAAGUGGUUCCAAGAAAAGCCUCUAAGCUUCAGUCUAACGAUGACCGUACCGCAAACCGACACAGGUGGGCGAGAUGAGUAUUCUAAGGCGCUUGAGAGAACUCGGGAGAAGGAACUCGGCAAAUUGGUACCGUAACUUCGGGAUAAGGUACGCCCUUGUAGCUUGACUGGCCUGCGCCAGGAGGGUGAAGGGGUUGCAAUAAACUGGUGGCUGCGACUGUUUAAUAAAAACACAGCACUCUGCAAACACGAAAGUGGACGUAUAGGGUGUGACGCCUGCCCGGUGCCGGAAGAUUAAAUGAUGGGGUGCAAGCUCUUGAUUGAAGUCCCGGUAAACGGCGGCCGUAACUAUAACGGUCCUAAGGUAGCGAAAUUCCUUGUCGGGUAAGUUCCGACCUGCACGAAUGGCGUAACGAUGGCCACACUGUCUCCUCCCGAGACUCAGCGAAGUUGAAGUGUUUGUGAUGAUGCAAUCUACCCGCGGCUAGACGGA
rnacentral:rRNA from 1 species